rnacentral:lncRNA from 1 species
AAUACAAAAACCAUGAGUUCAUCACAUCCUUCUCUCCUCUAUAUCAUGAUGAUUCGAGCUUCGUCUUCGAAAGAAGAAGGUAAAGGUAAGCCUUUGUUUCAGGUACACAGUACUUGUCCUCUAGUUCAUUAAUCCCAUUACCCAUCUCUCUCUCUCUCUUUUUUUAUGUAAUAUAUAUAUAUAAAUAUCAUAGGUCUCACAAAUAGGUGGAUCCCAUACAUUGAGUAGCCAUCUCCAUCAGCCACAAGGACAGUAGCUUCAAUCAGAUUACUGUCCAUGGAAGAAAGGCAAUGCAGUUGCUCCACAAGUCGUGCCCUAACAACAGGGCAUCUCUAGUGGAGGACCAUCUUUCACAUGGUGCAAUGACCAUAGCAGUAGCAGUCACAUGAUUAGCUCCUGUAACCAGCGAGGUAAGUAUUGAUUGACAUACAGAUACCAUACAUCUGUGCGGAUGAUGAUUUUUAGGACCGAAUUGGUUUGGAAGAAUGAGAUGCCGAGUGCAAAGUUUCUGACAUUUGCCAUGCACGUACGUAUUCAUGCAUGUUUGAGGACGGGGUUACGUACCUCAUGAUGUGUACGUAACAUUUUAUGUUUAUAUUGGUGGGAAGAAGAAACUUGUCUGUGUUUUUUCUCUCCAAUCUGAUUCCUUUUCAUGUGUUUUUUCUUAUGGUUUUGGCUGGUCAAUAUCUACUCACUUUC